rnacentral:rRNA from 1 species
AACGAACGCUGGCGGCAUGCCUAACACAUGCAAGUCGAACGAGAUCUUCGGGUCUAGUGGCGCACGGGUGCGUAACGCGUGGGAAUCUGCCCUUUGGUUCGGAAUAACAGUUGGAAACGACUGCUAAUACCGGAUGAUGACGAAAGUCCAAAGAUUUAUCGCCAGAGGAUGAGCCCGCGUAGGAUUAGCUAGUUGGUGUGGUAAAGGCGCACCAAGGCGACGAUCCUUAGCUGGUCUGAGAGGAUGAUCAGCCACACUGGGACUGAGACACGGCCCAGACUCCUACGGGAGGCAGCAGUGGGGAAUAUUGGACAAUGGGCGCAAGCCUGAUCCAGCCAUGCCGCGUGAGUGAUGAAGGCCCUAGGGUUGUAAAGCUCUUUCGCCAGGGACGAUAAUGACGGUACCUGGAUAAGAAGCCCCGGCUAACUUCGUGCCAGCAGCCGCGGUAAAAC